GCAGUGGCGGUUCUGUGGUAGAUUUUUUGCCUUAUAUGUAAGAAACCAGAGUUCAAUUCCCAGCCAAUGCA
rnacentral:tRNA from 1 species